AAAUUCUUUCGAAAGGCAACACUGAUCAAACCAAAACAUCGUUCCUGUUUCUGCCGUGUUUUCUAUGGUAUCUUUUUUAUUUUGUCCGUCGUAUAACAAUGUUUUCGGCAACCCAAAUCAUCGAAAACCAGCGGUUCAAGGUUAUUAAUGUGCCGUCGUCGUGGAUUCAACACGGAAUCCUCAAAUGGCCAAAGUUGUCCAACGAGAAGAUAGAGAAGCUACGUGUAAGUGGAACUCCUUAUUUCGGAUCCACGAAAAGUAUUCCCGCGAUCGUUAGUCGUCGUCGAUAUCGAAAUUUUGAUAGCGCGGAAGCUGCUGCAGAAGCCAUGACCAAUACGGAGGUGUCGGAUUUGGACACCAAAAAGCCAACCCUGAAAGCUUUGAAAACGAAAGAUAGGAAACUAAAAACAGGCAAAAACUAUAAUGCCUUGUUUUCUGUUGAAGAACGAAACUGCAACCGUUUCUUCUGAGCAGGAAUCAAGCUUUUAAAAUGGGUUCGGAUCAAGCAAUGCACAGCAAUGCAACAUUACACCUGACAUCAUGGAUAAUAACCCAUCUGAGCUGAUGGUUAUUCCAUGCGAAAUUCCUGAAAUUUUGACCUCGUUUGAUGGAGACAUCAUUAUAGGGGAUGCAAGCGGAAUUCAAUACCAAAAUAGUGCUCCUCAGCAAACUGAAGGUGCCAAUGAGUCAUUGACAAUUCCAAAAAAUGGUGUUAUUUAUUUGGAUGUCCCACCAGCCGCCCAUGAACCGUCAGAUCAAAAAACCUAGAGACCUAUGAAGAUUCAAAGCAAACAGACUAAUUCGAAGCAAGACACAGCUAUUCCGGUUGAUCCGGAACCAGUGGAGUUCCACAAAUGGAUAAUGGAUGAGAAGCAAUUGGUGCAUCUUUGGCCGAUGAAAAUCGACGUAAGGAAUACUUGCAAUAUUCGAGAAAAGUCAUAAUCAGCAACUCCUAUUAUGAAAAAGGAGACAACGCUGUGUACCUUAUCGCGGACCUUUUUUUGAAUGAGAAUUUUGGACCAAGUUUACUUGUACUGGAAUAAGUCGUUCAAACAAUAAAUCAAAGCGGCGACUUCAAGAAUUUGGGAAUGAUUUGGCAUUAAUUUUGAAUAUAACGUGCAUUGGAGAUCCAACCUAUACAGCUACAAAAACUCGAGAUGUUUUGCAGAAAUCGCCUCCUUCGCUACAGCAAAGCUAGAGCAGCAUAAAAAAUGUUAAGGAAAUCGGCGACUCGACAUAACCGUGCCAAAGCACCACCCUCUGGAGCAUUGAAUAAAAAAAAAUAACCAAGUUGGAAUGUUGACGAAAAAUGAGGUCACCGUUUAUAACGAAACGCUAAACAAUAACAUUGAUUUUGUUUGUGAUGAUAUUUGCUCCGAGUCGUCCUCUUCUUCUUAUUCCAACUAACAAGUUGUCUAUUUAACCGCAGACACCAGAUACCCAGACUGAUCAGAGGCGCUUGAAUCCAUACAACUGAAAGUCGCGCAGAAUCAUACGCCAUCUGUCGGGGCAUCGUGAAACUACUGUGCUUCAUCAAGAAAAAAAAUUACACUUGAUAAUUAACAAGCCAAAUGCAAACCCUUUUGAUCGAAUCACCUAUAAGUAUUUGAAAUUCUUUCUCAAAUAUUUUCAUUAUCGUUGUUGUCUUCAAUGUUAAUUGUUUACUUUAAUUUACUGUAUCAUAAUAAGAGAUGAAUGUUAUACAAACAAUGACUGUUGAUCGAUUAAGAUAAAAAAAAUACAAACGCAACGUUAUAGCGGUCCUUAGUUCAAAGCCAAUUAAUUUUGAGAUUCAGUUUUGAUUUCAAAAUUAAUUUAUCCGGCUGAGUGACAGUAUGAAAAUUGUAAUGUCUGUUAUAAAUAAUUCACUGAGUUCGGAAUUGUUCGUCUCAAUCUGAAAGGUUGACUGCUACCAAAAAGAUAAUUUACAUAGAACUCCUUGAAAAACUUGAAUUCUAAUUUAUCUUAACUGUUUCUUGGCUCGUACCACAGAUAGGUACCUCGUACUUAGAUAGGUUUGAGGAUUGAAAUAAGUUAUUGACACUCUCGUUGGGAUGAUUGGAACGUUUUUAGACAAUGUAAAAAAAAGCUGAAUAAUAUUUAAAUAUGAUGAAUGUAUUGAUAUGAUCUUUAAUCGUAUUUGCCGCUGGAAGUGUUUGUGGUAUAAUGCUGGUCGUUUCACUAAAACUUAUGAAUUUUUGAAAAAAUAACCUCAGAAACGACCGUAUUUGUUGACCGGGAAUUUUUUCCUGCUCAAAUGUGCGUGAGAAAUGUCAAAAAACAACUGUAAUGACCAUCUCACGUGAGCUUUCAUUACGUCGUAUGAAACAUCUUGAGAAUUCCCAGAAAAUUGCUUCAAAAGUUGUCAAAACAACUUGAAAAUUUGUAUUUCACAUAGAAUAUGUUGUUCAGGCUACGAAUAUUCUUAAUGGAAAAAAGUUGCGACUAGUUUAUGUCAGUUUUUGUUUUUUUUAUUCGUAAUAAAACUGUUUGUUUACAUUUUGUUUUAUACGACGUAAUGAAAGCUUACGCGAGAUUUUGGAAUUAUUCUGGACUGGGCUGGAAAAUUAACCUUAAAAGAGACCAUGUUUUUAGACUUUUUUCCCCGUCUUAAUCCGUAC